UACGUAGGGAGCAAGCGUUGUCCGGAUUUAUUGGGCGUAAAGAGCUCGUAGGCGGCUUAGAAAGUCAGGUGUGAAACCUCCAGGCUCAACCUGGAGACGCCACUUGAUACUUCUAUGGCUUGAGUUCGGUAGGGGUAAGCGGAAUUCCUGGUGUAGCGGUGAAAUGCGCAGAUAUCAGGAGGAACACCGGUGGCGAAGGCGGCGUCCUGGACCAACACUGACACUGAUGAGCGAAAGCCAGGGGAGCAAACGGG
rnacentral:rRNA from 1 species